UUUGGCGACAAACCAUGACGGUUAGCAUCGAUGAGACAGAUAAUCUAUGUCAUAUAUAUACAUAAAUUUGUCAUAUUCUAUUAAACAACCGAAGUCUAGGAGCCGAUCCAGAGUGAAAAGAACUAACGAGAAAUAAGUUCUUACUUUCUCCCGCUAAUACAGGUACGGAAGUCAGCAGACCGGCAGGGUGCAGCGUGCAUCUGCCCAGGUCGAGCAAUCACCACCUGUCAUCGGGUCCAUCCCUAAGUAACGCCACGCAUUAAAUAUAUAGAUCGUAGUUCGAGCACGGCUUUGGCCAAAAUCAGGAAAAUGUAUGUAUAGAGUUG